AGGGCUCGGUGCUUCCCUCCGAACAGAGCCCUGCAGAGCCAGAGAGAGCCGGGUCUCUCCCCUCCACCUACUUUUCCACUGGCCAGUUCAGCCUCCUGCAGGAAUCAGGGAAGGGCGACGCGGCGGGAAGCAGAGGAGUGGUGACCAUCGUGGAACCCCAGCGACCCGGAGGAUGAGGCAGGAGGAUCACAUGGCCAUCGUCCCAAGAAAGCCUGUGGGGGACACCGAUUGCCAUAGCAUGAAACUCCCAGGGAAGAGAGCAAUCAGCUGCCUUGCUAUUGGAAGAGGCCCUUGUGGUGAGGAGCAGGAGGGUUACCAUCGAUCUCACACAUGAGCUUGGCAGCAGAUAGUCCCCUCACCAACCUGAAGAUGACCACGACCCCCACAAACAAGGGACAGCUGAUUGCAACCUCAUGAAAGAUUGGGUGGCCAGAACUACCUAGCUAAGCUGCUCCCAUAUUCCUGAUGCAUGGAAACUGUGAAGUAAUAAAAGCGUUUAUUGUUUAAAGAUGCUAA